rnacentral:rRNA from 1 species
AACGAACGCUGGCGGCAUGCCUAACACAUGCAAGUCGAACGAGACCUUCGGGUCUAGUGGCGCACGGGUGCGUAACGCGUGGGAACCUGCCCUUAGGUUCGGAAUAACUCCCCGAAAGGGGUGCUAAUACCGGAUAAUGUCUUCGGACCAAAGAUUUAUCGCCUUUGGAUGGGCCCGCGUUGGAUUAGCUAGUUGGUAGGGUAAAAGCCUACCAAGGCGACGAUCCAUAGCUGGUCUGAGAGGAUGAUCAGCCACACUGGGACUGAGACACGGCCCAGACUCCUACGGGAGGCAGCAGUGGGGAAUAUUGGACAAUGGGCGAAAGCCUGGUCCAGCAAUGCCGCGUGAGUGAUGAAGGCCGUAGGGUUGUAAAGCUCUUUUACCCGGGAUGAUAAUGACGGUACCGGGAGAAUAAGCUCCGGCUAACUCCGUG